rnacentral:lncRNA from 1 species
UUCUUACAAGUGACCUCUAAGGAAGGUUUCUCCUUCAAGAGCAGCAGAUAUAUAAAAAAUAAUUCCUUUCUCUGGACUCAUUUCAACUGAUAAAUGCCAAGGUAGGCAGUUGGAUGCUAGGAUAAUCUGGCCAUAAAUCAUGAUUCAGGGUUAUAAACAAAGUGUAUGCUUUAUUUUGUUGUGGUGGUGGUUCCUUCAUAACUAGGAAAAGGGAGACAAGCUUUCUUACUUUUCAACAAAAAGUUUCUCUAUCUAUAAUCAUUUACAUGCUGACCUUCUUAUAUAAAUACACAAAGUGACUCUUAGGAACAUGUAAAUGAUUAUAGGAAGUUAACAUAUACCAAUGACUUAUUUGCCACCAACAUUAUAAGUAGGCUUCUAGUUACUGCAGCAUAUUAAAUAAUGGUAUCAUUUGUUUUUCUGAAACAGAUGCAAAACACUGUGGUCAAUUUUUUUUUUUUAAGAUGGUGUCUUGCUCUGUCGCCAGGCUGCAGAGCAGUGAUGCAAUCUUGGCUCACUGCAACCACAUUGCUACCACUGUAGCCGAGCUGUGGUCUCUGAUGUCACCACCAGCUGCAGCGAGGUAAGCCACGGAGGCGCAGGCUCUGGCUCCAGCCUCCAGCAUGCAGCGGUGUCUCUUCCUUCUCCUCGUCUUCCAGCCCGGCAGGAGAAGCUCCCGCUGCUAGCCUCCCUCCUACCGCUCCGUCACCAACACCACCAACAGGGAGGCAGCGCCCUAGGCUCCAGGCUCCAGGCUCCAGCGGGUGAAAACUAAUGGACCCUUCUAGUUCUCUAACCCAGGUACCUAGCAGCUGAGCACACCGACACAGAAGACCCAAAAAUGACGCACCACUUCCUCAGCAUGCUUUAUAUACUGAAGUUACGGAUCCUGGACUACAUGUUCUGAUUGGAUGAGAGAAAAACCUCUAGGCCUACUCUGAUUGGACUUUAUUUUCAUGCUGUGAUUGGUUAUCUUAAGACUUGCUCUCAUGCAAUCAGAACAUGAAGUCUAGGAACCGGCAUGCGCAUAACCUCCGUAUAUAAAUGAUGCUGAAAAGCUGUUACGGUUUUUUUUUUUUAGGGUUCGGUGUUUUACUGUUGAGCUGCUCAGUGCCCAGCUUAGAGGACCAGGAAAAGGAGUCACCGGCCAUAUGCUGGAGGCUUGAGACACGGCACAGCGGCGCAGCUCGCCUCGCUAUGUCCUUUAGGUUGUUUGAGGGACAUUCAUCAAGGAAACCGGAGAAACUUAAAAUGCUCUU